rnacentral:rRNA from 1 species
CCUACGGGUGGCAGCAGUGGGGAAUAUUGGGCAAUGGGCGCAAGCCUGACCCAGCAACGCCGCGUGAAGGAAGAAGGCUUUCGGGUUGUAAACUUCUUUUCUCAGGGACGAAGAAAGUGACGGUACUUGAUGUAUAAGUCACGGUUAACUACGUGCCAGCACCCGCGGCAAUACGUAGGUGGCAGGCGUUAUCCGGAUUUAUUGGGUGUAAAGGUCGUGUUGGCGGGAGCCCAAGUCAGAUGUGAAAACUCAGGGCUCAACCCUGAGCCUGCAUUGGUAACUGUGUUACUUUGGUGCUGUGAGGGCAAUCGGAAUUCCGGGGGUGGCGGUGAAAUGCGUGGAUAUACGGAGGAACACCAGUGGCGAAGGCGGAUUGCUGGACAGUAACUGACGCUGGGGCGCGAAAGCGUGGGGAGCAAACAGGAUUAGAUACCCUUGAGUC